rnacentral:rRNA from 1 species
GGGAAUAAGGCCCUACGGGUCGUAAACCUCUUUUGUCGGGAACAAAGCGGGACGCGUCCCCGUCUGCGUGUACCCGAAGAAAAAGCAUCGGCUAACUCCGUGCC